rnacentral:rRNA from 1 species
ACCUGAAAUCAGGUGGGACUACCCGCUGAACUUAAGCAUAUCAAUAA